rnacentral:misc_RNA from 1 species
GAAAUGCGAUAAGUAAUGUGAAUUGCAGAAUUCAGUGAAUCAUCGAAUCUUUGAACGCACAUUGCGCCCGCCAGUAUUCUGGCGGACAUGCCUGUUCGAGCGUCAUUACAACCCUCAGGCCCCCGGGCCUGGCGUUGGGGAUCGGCGGAAGCCCCCUGCGGGCACAACGCCGUCCCCCAAAUACAGUGGCGGUCCCGCCGCAGCUUCCAUUGCGUAGUAGCUAACACCUCGCAACUGGAGAGCAGCGCGGCCACGCCGUAAAACACCCAACUUCUGAAUGUUGACCUGGAAUCAGGUAGGAAUACCCGCUGAACUUAAGC